rnacentral:rRNA from 1 species
GACGAACGCUGGCGGCGUGCUUAACACAUGCAAGUCGAACGGAAAGGCCCUGCUUUUGUGGGGUGCUCGAGUGGCGAACGGGUGAGUAACACGUGAGUAACCUGCCCUUGACUUUGGGAUAACUUCAGGAAACUGGGGCUAAUACCGGAUAGGAGCUCCUGCUGCAUGGUGGGGGUUGGAAAUUUUCGGCUGUUGGGGAUGGACGCGCGGCUUAUCAGCUUGUUGGUGGGGUAGUGGCUUACCAAGGCUUUGACGGGUCGCCGGCCUGAGAGGGUGACCGGCCACAUUGGGACUGAGAUACGGACCAGACUCCUACGGGAGGCAGCAGUGGGGAACAUUGCACAAUGGGCGGAAGCCUGAGGAAGCAACGCCGCGUGCGGGAUGACGGCCUUCGGGGUGUAAACCGCUGUCGCCUGUGACGAAGCGUGAGUGACGGUAAUGGGUAAAGAAGCACCGGCUAACUACGUG